GAAAUAUGUUAAUCAAGAUUAAGCUUCUAACUUAAAUCUUAAGCUGUGAAACUCUGUUUAUAUUUCU
rnacentral:tRNA from 1 species